rnacentral:rRNA from 1 species
UGCUUCUCUUGAGAGCGGCGGACGGGUGAGUAAUGCCUAGGAAUCUGCCUGGUAGUGGGGGAUAACGUCCGGAAACGGACGCUAAUACCGCAUACGUCCUACGGGAGAAAGCAGGGGACCUUCGGGCCUUGCGCUAUCAGAUGAGCCUAGGUCGGAUUAGCUAGUUGGUGGGGUAAUGGCUCACCAAGGCGACGAUCCGUAACUGGUCUGAGAGGAUGAUCAGUCACACUGGAACUGAGACACGGUCCAGACUCCUACGGGAGGCAGCAGUGGGGAAUAUUGGACAAUGGGCGAAAGCCUGAUCCAGCCAUGCCGCGUGUGUGAAGAAGGUCUUCGGAUUGUAAAGCACUUUAAGUUGGGAGGAAGGGCAGUAAAUUAAUACUUUGCUGUUUUGACGUUACCGACAGAAUAAGCACCGGCUAACUCUGUGCCAGCAGCCGCGGUAAUACAGAGGGUGCAAGCGUUAAUCGGAAUUACUGGGCGUAAAGCGCGCGUAGGUGGUUCGUUAAGUUGGAUGUGAAAUCCCCGGGGCUCAACCUGGGAAACUGCAUUCAAAACUGACGAGCUAGAGUAUGGGUAAAGGGGUGGGUGGGAAUUUUCCUGGUGUU